UGUACGUAACCUGGGGACUGCCUGUACUCAAAAAAUUAAAUCCUUUACCUUGUUCUUGUUCUAUAGUUCCUUAAAAUAUUAUUGGCUUUGUAUUCGAAAUCCAAUAGAUGAUUUUUUUAUGUAUUGACUUGAGCCCUUCAGAAUAGAGCCCAACACUAGAAUUAUCAUCUGAAAGGAAUAGGAGGGGAUUUAUGAAUUGCAGGAAGGCGGCUCCUAUUGGUGGUAACUGUGCUGCAAUAAUGGAAAGGAGUGUUUUCUGAAAAAAAAGUACAUAUAAAAUUGUAUUAUCUAAAAAUACAUUUUGCGUCUACUGCUUCCUGUAUAACACCCCCUGCACGCGCGCUUCCGUGUGCGCACACAAACAUCCCAAGUCGAUAGGAUAUAUAAACAACCAUAUGCAUGUUCAAUAAACAAGAAGUCAUGCUUUUGUUUAAGUAGGUAGCCAGGCAUUGCUAUAGAGCCUAUAGUACACUCCAACAUAGUGCAGAGUGGUGAAUACCGUGCUGUUAGAGAUGAUACAUAAAACUCAAGUCCCGACUUCAUGGCUAUUUAAAUCCCUCCAGUGCUUUAUGUAAAAGCAAAGGGUGAAUGUACUCAACUUUUAAUUGGGUAAACUCUUCAAAGGGACUGGGCUGGAAUGGAAUCACUCAUUCUUUUUCCAGCUCUCUGACUUUGUGUGCUUCUAUUUCCCCAUCUGUAAAAUUAAGGUAUUUUCCUACCCGUUAAGGAUGAGCUGCUUAAUUCAUCCAUGUAGGUAAAGUGCUUUAGGAUCAUUAGCUGAACUGUGCAAUAGAGGUGUGAGUACUAUUGCCAAAAUUGAUGCUGAUCAUUCUAUUUCUUUUCCAUAGGUUUAUAAAAUUUCCCCAAAAUUCUCUUUCUUGGUGACAUCAGGUCCUUUUGUUUACACGGCAAUAGCUGUCAUAAACGUGCUUAUGAACAGCAAUCUUCUUCAAGGUCAGGCACCUGUAAUCCUGUCACUGCAGCCUUCUUUCACCAUGCCAGAGCCCAGGUUCCAAGCUCGCACAGUUCUUCAGUUUGUGA